UUUUGAAAGGGAAACGAUUGAAGUCAGUCGUGCUGGCGCGAAAUCAACCCUCUCGUCUUGAGAUCACAUGGCGCGACGAGCCUCAAAACCGUCACGAAGCGUGAACUCUUGACGAAAAGGUGCACUUUCGUGUCCGCUGGUUAACAUCAAUUUCGAACGUCAUAAAAAGGCUGGAGGGAUGUGGCUCCUUCGGGAGUGUUAUAACCUUUAGCGGAAUGUGGUGUUCGGGAUUGAGGAUUGCAACGAAUACCUUCAGGGCUGUUCCACCUGGCUUCUCAUUGGUAUCCUGGUGACGACAGCUUGCUGACGUCGUUAGGAUCAGCUCUGAAAGGCUAAGUGUGACAAAUUCGUUAA
rnacentral:rRNA from 1 species